rnacentral:rRNA from 1 species
CAAGAGUUCACAUCGACGGGGAGGUUUGGCACCUCGAUGUCGGCUCAUCGCAUCCUGGGGCUGUAGUCGGUCCCAAGGGUUGGGCUGUUCGCCCAUUAAAGCGGUACGCGAGCUGGGUUCAGAACGUCGUGAGACAGUUCGGUCCCUAUCCGUCGUGGGCGUAGGAAAUUUGAGAGGAGCUGUCCUUAGUACGAGAGGACCGGGAUGGACAUACCUCUGGUGUACCAGUUGUCGUGCCAACGGCAUAGCUGGGUAGCUAUGUGUGGACGGGAUAAGUGCUGAAAGCAUCUAAGCAUGAAGCCCCCCUCAAGAUGAGAUUUCCCAACUUCGGUUAUAAGAUCCCUCAAAGAUGAUGAGGUUAAUAGGUUCGAGGUGGAAGCAUGGUGACAUGUGGAGCUGACGAAUACUAA